rnacentral:rRNA from 1 species
UAGGGAAUCUUCCACAAUGGACGCAAGUCUGAUGGAGCAACGGCCGCGUGAGUGAAGAAGGCUUUCGGGUCGUAAAACUCUGUUAUUGAAGAAGAACGUGCGUGACAGUAACUGGUCAUGCAGUGACGGUAUUCAAUCAGAAAGUCACGGCUAACUACGUGCCAGCAGCCGCGGUAAUACGUAGGUGGCAAGCGUUGUCCGGAUUUAUUGGGCGUAAAGCGAGUGCAGGCGGUCUUUUAAGUCUGAUGUGAAAGCCUUCGGCUUAACCGAAGAAGGGCAUCGGAAACUGGGAGACUUGAGUGCAGAAGAGGAGAGUGGAACUCCAUGUGUAGCGGUGAAAUGCGUAGAUAUAUGGAAGAACACCAGUGGCGAAGGCGGCUCUCUGGUCUGUAACUGACGCUGAGGCUCGAAAGCGUGGGUAGCAAACAGGAUUAGAUACCCUGGUAGUCCACGC